CACCCCUAGCAUUACUAGUAUUAGAGGCACUGCCUGCCCAGUGACAUUAGUUAAACGGCCGCGGUAUCCUGACCGUGCAAAGGUAGCAUAAUCAUUUGUUCUUUAAAUAGGGACUUGUAUGAACGGCCACACGAGGGUUCUACUGUCUCUUGCUUCCAAUCAGUGAAAUUGACCUCCCCGUGCAGAGGCGGGGAUACACAAAUAAGACGAGAAGACCCUAUGGAGCUUUAAUUAACUAACUCAAAGAAAACAUAAAUAACCGCCAAGGGAUAAUAAUCUUCUACCUGAGUUAGCAAUUUCGGUUGGGGUGACCUCGGAGAACAGAAAAACCUCCGAGUGGCUAAAAUCUAGACUUACCAGUCAAAAUGUAGUGUCACUUAUUGAUCCAAAAUAUUUGAUCAACGGAACAAGUUACCCUAGGGAUAACAGCGCAAUCCUAUUCAAGAGUUCAUAUCGACAAUAGGGUUUACGACCUCGAUGUUGGAUCAGGACACCCCAAUGGUGCAGCCGCUAUUAAAGGUUCGUUUGUUCAACGAUUAAAGUCCU
rnacentral:rRNA from 1 species